rnacentral:rRNA from 1 species
CCGGGCUACACACGUGCUACAAUGGCAGGUACAGAGGGCUGCGAAGCCGCGAGGUGGAGCGAAUCCCAGAAAACCUGUCUCAGUCCGGAUUGAAGUCUGCAACUCGACUUCAUGAAGGCGGAAUCGCUAGUAACCGCGAAUCAGCAGGUCGCGGUGAAUACGUUCCCGGGCCUU